rnacentral:tRNA from 1 species
GCCUGGGUGGCUCAGUCAGUUGAGCAUCCGACUUCAGCUCAGGUCAUGAUCUCAUGGUUUGUGGGUUCUAGCCCCACGUCGGGCU